CGCCCGUCGCUCCUACCGAUUGGGUGUGCUGGUGAAGCGUUCGGAUUGGCGGCCUCCGGCGGUUCGCCGCUGGGAGCAGCCGGGAAGUUCGUUAAACCCUCCCACCUAGAGGAAGGAGAAGUCGUAACAAGGUUUCC
rnacentral:rRNA from 1 species